rnacentral:rRNA from 1 species
UACGUAGGUGGCGAACGUUAUCCGGAAUUAUUGGGCGUAAAGGAUGCGUAGAUGGUGUAGUAAGUUAUCGGUGGCAAAUCGAGGCUCAACCUCGUGGAAGCCGGUAAUACUGCUAUGCUAGAGGAUAGGAGAGGUUAACGGAACUCCCUGUGGAGCGGUGAAAUGCGUAGAUAUAGGGGAGAACACCAAUCAGGCGAAGGCAGUUAACUAUUCUAUUCCUGACAUUGAGGCAUGAAAGCGUGGGGAGCAAAACGG